GUAAACAAGGGAGUUAGCAUAGUUUCCUUUCAAUACAGCACUCUUGAUAAAAUGUUUGUAGUAUAACAAAUAAAAACAUUUUCUUGGACUCUCCAGGAAAUUAAUGGCUUAUUUUUCCUGGCAGACUGAUGUGAGGGAUACUAAAUUACCUUCCACUGAUUAAAGACAAGCCACUGCCUCUAGGCAAAGAGAAAAAGAAAAGAAUUAACCAAGCCCUUAGCAAAAGGAGGCAGUGGUGAAAGUUAGGUAAACAAUUCGGAUCUUCUUUGAUCGGACAGUGCAGCUUCCAGAUGCCACAAAACGCUGAGAACCUGGAAGCUGCUCGGGAGACUUCUUAUGUGGAGAGGAACCUCGGCACUUUCUAAGGACCUACUCUGUGCUUGACUGUCACUUAAUUUCCCACCAAGCAAGUAUCCUGUAAGCUUCUCCUCAAACACUUGCUGAAGAGACCAGUCAAUAGCAAAGAGUCAGUAGAUGCUGUGUGGAAAGUAACCUGCACAAUGGCCACCAUCAAGAUGCUCGAUGUCAGCAAGUGCUAGUGUCUGCUGUCCCCCACCAGAGCUCCCAGCCUGCUGUCUCGCUUGUCUUUUCCAAUGAGCUAACACAGAAGCGACUGAAACCGAACAAGAAGUUCCGACGAGUCACUCAAAGGCAGCCUCACCAUGCACCCCCAUGAUGUACCGUGUCACCACAAGUCCCAAGCAACAGGGCCAAGUCACCAUGGACUGACACACUUGAAACUGUGAGCCAAAAUCAACCCAAGCCCUUUCUAAGUUGAUUUAUUACCCCAGAUGCCUGUCUAUACAGCAGUGGGAAGCUGACUGACAGUGGAUACUGUUGUAAUCAUCUUUGUCAUUUGGGGACCAGGAGGAUGAAUAGCCAACAUAAUGAGAACACAAGGCAGAAGGAAUGAAGGCUCUGGGUCCUUAGUGAGAUGGAGAGCUGUGCCUGGAAAACCUGCUUCUAGAUACUAAGAGACCAGUCGGUCUCCUUACGAAGGCCAGCUGCUAAUUUGUGAGGAAUGCCCUCGGACAUGCCUCAUUAUAGCUUUCAUUAAUACAAGAACUGGUGCGACAUGCUCUUUAGGCUUUGGGGAGAGAGUCUCGAGUAACAACAGCAAUAGCAAACACUUCUCGGAGCUGACUUAUUCUAAUGCCUAAUCCUGCCCUGGUGAAGUCAGAAAAAUUAGCCUAGUGAAUUCUGAUUUGAGAACUCUGUGGGGAUUUUGUUCCUAACGCCAAUUUCUGCAACUAUUCCAUGGGUACCAAAAAAGGACUCCCACACACUCAGAGCAUACAAGGAGUGAAGUUUAGGUCAAGGCUCAGUGUCUGUGUGUCUGUGUCCAAUCGUUCCCACGCGGUUGAACACACAGCUCUGUCCCUGUUGAAUCGCCCUUGUGCCUUUCUCAAAAACCGCAUGAUCAUAUUUUUGGAGAAGAGGAAAAGAAAGGCAAACACAACAACAAUGUUUAAGUUGGCAACGAUGCGGCUCCGUGGGCUGCCCCAUUCCCUGCAGGGGCCGCAAACUGGCGCUGUCCCUGGCUGGACUUGGGUGGAAGGAGCACCAGCCUUGGCCUCCCACUCCCUUGGGGGGCCCUGCAGCACGGAUGUCACAGAAGGUUCCCGAGAGCGACGUGUGGAGAGCCCUAAACUGGAAACCACCAAGCUGCUCACCCUCAGGAGUGCAGAUCAGAUUCACGCGGUGCAUCGCGAUGGCACAGGAACAUACAACCUAAGCUACAUGUGGGAGUGUGGCUAAAUCUCCUGUCUUCUAAUCUUCCUCUAUGUCUCUAAGUCUCCUUCCUCUAAAUCUUCUGUCUCCACGACAGAAAGCCUGGGGCACUGGGAUUGAACCCAAGGCAUGUGUUGCAUGAUUCCCGUUGCAGGAAAUCGACACAUGGGCAAAACUAUUCUGCUCUGUUGGAAGUCGAGCUCCUGCUGUGCCUCGGUGGGAAGCAGGGGCAGGGACAGGGCGGGGUCCUGGGAAGUUGUGGGAUGCUCAGCCUUUUGAGCUGCUACUGGCUUCAAGGGUGUGUUAACCCUAUGAAAAUGUAACAGUAAAGCUGGGCGUGGUGGCCCAUUUCUAUCAUCCUAGGUGACUGAGGCAGGAAGACUGCAAUCUGUGCUCAGCCUGGGCAACUUGGCAGCAGAGCAAGACCCUGUGUCACAUUAAAAAAAUAAAAAAGGGCUGGAGCUAUGGCUAAGUGCAAAGGCCCUGGGUUCGAUUCCCAGUACCGCAAAACAAACAAAUCAAUGGUACACGCCCUAUGCACUUUCUACAUGUGUACGUUCUAUUUCCAAUAAAAAUUUUAAAAGAGUG
ensembl:lncRNA